rnacentral:tRNA from 1 species
GCCUCCGUGGCCUAAUGGAUAAGGCAUCGGUUUCCUAAACCGGGGAUUGUGGGUUCGAGUCCAACCGGAGGUG